rnacentral:rRNA from 1 species
GUAAUAGCUCACUAGUCGAGAGGUCCUGCGCCGAAAAUGUCCGGGGCUAAAACACGACACCGAAGCUUAGGAAUGUAGAAAUACAUUGGUAGAGGAGCAUUGUUAGCGCAGCGAAGCUGUACCGAUAAGGAGCAGUGGAGUGCUAAGAAGAGAGAAUGCCGGAAUGAGUAGCGAGAGGAAGGUGAGAAUCCUUCCGGCCGAAUAUCCAAGGUUUCCAGAGUAAAGCUGAUCUGCUCUGGGUAAGUCGGGGCCUAAGGCGAGGUCGAAAGACGUAGUCGAUGGAUAACAGGUGGAGAUUCCUGUACUAUGUGUACCCAGAACUGUGGGGACGCAUGUGGAGAGCACGAGCCGGGAAAGAGAAGACCGGUACAAGCGGGGUAGGAGUAAGGACAGCAAAUCUUCCUUACAAUCCGAAGACGUAAUGUGGACCGAACCAAAGUAGGGAAGCGUGUGAGCCAUGUGCCAAGAAAAGCCGCUAUUGUGAUACACAUACCCGUACCGUAAACCGACACAGGUGGAUGAGGAGAGAAUCCUAAGGCCGACGGAAGAAGCAUUGUUAAGGAACUCGGCAAAAUGACCCCGUAACUUCGGGAGAAGGGGUGCUCCAGAGAUGGAGCCGCAGAGAACUGGCCCAAGCAACUGUUUAGCAAAAACACAGGUCUAUGCAAAACCGAAAGGUGAGGUAUAUGGGCUGACGCCUGCCCGGUGCUGGAAGGUUAAGAGGAGAGGUUAGCGCAAGCGAAGCUUUGAAUUUAAGCCCCAGUAAACGGCGGCCGUAACUAUAACGGUCCUAAGGUAGCGAAAUUCCUUGUCGGGUAAGUUCCGACCCGCACGAAAGGCGUAAUGAUUUGAGCACUGUCUCGACAAUGCAUCCGGUGAAAUUGAAGUACCAGUGAAGAUGCUGGUUACCUGCGCCAGGACGGAAAGACCCCAUGGAGCUUUACUCUAGCUUGAUACUGGGGUUCGGUAUUGCAUGUACAGGAUAGGUGGGAGACUGAGAAGAUGUGUCGCCAGAUGCAUCAGAGUCGAUGUUGGGAUACCACCCCUGCAGUACUGGGCUUCUAACCUGCAGCCGUGACCCGGCUGGGGGACAAUGUCUGGUGGGGAGUUUGACUGGGGCGGUCGCCUCCGAAAGAGUAUCGGAGGCGCUCAAAGGUUCCCUCAGAAUGGUUGGAAACCAUUCGAAGAGCGCAAAGGCAGAAGGGAGCUUGACUGCGACACCGACGGGUGGAGCAGGUACGAAAGUAGGACUUAGUGAUCCGGUGGUAUAAAGUGGGAUUGCCAUCGCUCAACGGAUAAAAGCUACCCUGGGGAUAACAGGCUUAUCACUCCCAAGAGUUCACAUCGACGGAGUGGUUUGGCACCUCGAUGUCGGCUCAUCGCAUCCUGGGGCUGUAGUAGGUCCCAAGGGUUGGGCUGUUCGCCCAUUAAAGCGGUACGCGAGCUGGGUUCAGAACGUCGUGAGACAGUUCGGUCCCUAUCCGGCGUGGGCGUAGGAUAUCUGAGAGGAGCUGUCCUUAGUACGAGAGGACCGGGAUGGACUGACCUCUGGUGCACCGGUUGCAUUGCCAAAUGCAUAGCCGGGUAGCCAAGUCGGGACGGGAUAAACGCUGAAGGCAUCUAAGCGUGAAGCCCCCCUCAAGAUGAGAUAUCCCAUAACAUAAGUUAGUAAGACCCCUUGAAGACGACGAGGUAGAUAGGCAGAAGGUGGAAGUGUGGUGACAUAUGGAGCUGAUCUGUACUAAUAGGUCGAGGGCUUAACCAA